UACGGCGGGUGCAAGCGUUAUCCGGAUUCACUGGGUUUAAAGGGUGCGUAGGUGGGACUGUAAGUCAGUGGUGAAAUCUCCAAGCUUAACUUGGAAACUGCCGUUGAUACUAUAGUUCUUGAAUGUUGUGGAGGUGAGCGGAAUAUGUCAUGUAGCGGUGAAAUGCUUAGAUAUGACAUAGAACACCAAUUGCGAAGGCAGCUCACUACACAAAUAUUGACACUGAGGCACGAAAGCGUGGGGAUCAAACAGG
rnacentral:rRNA from 1 species